UGGGGAAUUUUGGACAAUGGGGGAAACCCUGAUCCAGCCAUCCCGCGUGUGCGAUGAAGGCCUUCGGGUUGUAAAGCACUUUUGGCAGGAAAGAAACGUCGCGGGUUAAUACCCCGCGAAACUGACGGUACCUGCAGAAUAAGCACCGGCUAACUACGUGCCAGCAGCCGCGGUAAUACGUAGGGUGCAAGCGUUAAUCGGAAUUACUGGGCGUAAAGCGUGCGCAGGCGGUUCGGAAAGAAAGAUGUGAAAUCCCAGAGCUUAACUUUGGAACUGCAUUUUUAACUACCGGGCUAGAGUGUGUCAGAGGGAGGUGGAAUUCCGCGUGUAGCAGUGAAAUGCGUAGAUAUGCGGAGGAACACCGAUGGCGAAGGCAGCCUCCUGGGAUAACACUGACGCUCAUGCACGAAAGCGUGGGGAGCAAACAGGAUUAGAUACCCUGGUAGUCCACGCCCUAAACGAUGUCAACUAGCUGUUGGGGCCUUCGGGCCUUGGUAGCGCAGCUAACGCGUGAAGUUGACCGCCUGGGGAGUACGGUCGCAAGAUUAAAACUUAAAUGAAUUGACGGGGGUCAUAGCUGUUUUCCU
rnacentral:rRNA from 1 species